UUGAUUUAGUUAAAGUAUUGAAUUCUAAUAUGUAUUAAACAUCUCUCUUAUUAAAGAACAAGCAUGCAAUUAUUCAAUUUUUUAUCUUUUCAUUGCGCUAUUCUUAUUGACACGUUUCUUCAGAAGUGAAUGCAUUAUGUAAAAACAGAAUUGCAUAUAUUUCACACAUUCAAAAUCGUGCACAGAAGUUCAAUUCACUCCAUGAAAUCGAAGGUACUCAACAAUUUCGUUUCAUAUUUCUGAUUCUCCUGAUUUUGAUCAGGUUUUGAUUGGUUUGUCGUGUUUUGUUCCAACGUUUCGUGAACAUUCCAGCGCACUUGCUCAGGGUACACUUGAAAAUAUUUUUUUUCUCGGAAAAAGAAAAUACUACGAAAAUAAAAAAAGAAGACUGAUAUUUGUAGGUCUUCCCUAAGGAAGUCAAUUGAAGCAAAGAAGCGACGUUCACGAGACUUUGGAACAAGGCGCAAUAUACUAAAAAUGAGAGGAGUAACCACGAGUACCUCGCCUAAUUAUCUUGAAAUUAUAAAACCUAAUACUUCGUUUCACUUUCGCUUUUCCGCUUUGACUUAUCCUCUACGCUCACUUUCCAAACACUUUCCCCAACACCCACACAUAGCACAUUCGAAUCUCUAUCUGUUCCUCUAUCUCUUCGUCCCUGAGCAAUCGGACUGCGCGGCGACCGGAAUAAUGAAGCUCUUCACGGUUCUACUAUGCGGCACUUACUCGACGACAGUCCAAUUUAUAAUAGACUGGAACAGUGGAACACGGUGUGGAUUUAACUUGUAAAUGUAGGCCACCCAGUGACAUGUGGACCCGCGUCCGGAUCACGACUGUCCGUUUCUCCUGAACGUCGUCCAAACUUUUCUUUUGGACCACCGGAUGAUUAACCCGGAGGCGAGGGAUCGUGAAUGAUGAACGAAGCAGCUGCGUUCAGAUUUGACAUAUUUAUUCUUGAAACUUCGCCCAAUAUAACGAACAUUGAAGCCUCGAACAAUUGGAUAAACUUUGCUGAAGAUUCUAACAUAAAAUUCCAUGUACGAGGGAGAGACUCAUGCAAACGUAAAAACAAAAGUCAAUGGUACCAAUGUAGUGUAUGAAAAAUAGAAAAGAAAUGAUCCAGUCAUCAAAGGAAUCUAUCCAAACUGGAUCUAGAAGAUAACUCGAAGGAUUUAUUUUAACUCGGAUAUAUCUGUAGACUUUCUGAAGAUCAAUUUGAAGAAUCUUGUGCACAGAAGAUAUUUUUUAAAACCAUUGGAAUCACAACAGCGUUGCAACUACCCAUCGAAUCAUUUUCAAGCAACAAAAACGAAAGGAAGACGGAAUUAACCUUCUAAUUAGGUUCGAAUACUCGAAUAUUUAAUUCUCAACAAGUAUCGAUAUCAUGGAAAAGAAAUUUGAUAUUGAAAAUCUUCAACGUCUCAACGAGUAACUACGUCAGAAAACCGACCUAGCGAUCUCAAAUAUCAAAUCGAAUCGAGAAUGCGAUCUAAUGUCCAACAGGAAUCUUCUUCAAAAUCCACUCUAAAAAGGAUUUAAAAAGAAUCCGGUAACAGAAAGAGACGAAGGAAGCAGCAAAUGUUUUUAAAGUUCACUGGAAACGGUUGGUCCCAAGUCCCAUGGAAAACCAGCUUCGACCCUUGACAGCAACUUGUGGGGGUAGAAAAAAUUCGUGCGCGAUAAAUUCGGAUCAGUGGCGUGAAUAAAUCCCGGCGAAUCGAAGCGAGAGGGAAACCGGAAGCGGCGGAACAUCUCGGAUAAAAUGCCGGAGGACGCGCGAAUAAAUUGAAAGAAAUACACAAGGACAAAAGCGGCGUGCAAGAGAAGAGGGGGGCUGGGGCGCUCGAAAACGCUGAUAAACGCUUGAAUAAUGGGCAGGCAAAUUGCACCGGAGGAACAACGCGUGAUAAACGAACGGAUGAUGCAAAUUCUUUCGGGUUUGGCGCGGACGCGCGGCAACUCGAUGGAAAGCAUGCCGUUUCCGCUGAAAAGGGCCUUGUCUUACGAUCGAGCUGGUCGCGCGACGCUUCGAUCCAACUUGCAAUUUUUCUGGAAUUUCUACGCCCAUUUUUAUGGACGUUGAUUCUUGAGAACGAGGGCGUAGGUUGGAUGGAAUUUUCUUAUUCCGGUUCAUGGUUUGCAGGCCAGAGGAAGUGAAAGGUGUAUGUGAAGUUGAAAAUCGAAUGAUAGAGGAGUGGUAGGAGAGAGAGAGAGAGAGAGAGAGAGAGAGAAAGAGAGAGAGAGAGCGAGAGGGAGAGAGAGAGAAAGAGAGAGAGAGCGAGAGGGAGAGA